AGCUUAGAUGUGGAAGCUCUUUGGAAACCAAGAAACACUCUGCAAAUGAAAAGGGUGGAAGAGUAAACUGUUCCUGUUUCUCCAUCUUGACAGGAAGCAGAAGUUCUCCUUAGCUGAUUUUUCUUCUUGCCUUAUACUGGGUUCUUUAACACCAGAACAAAAAUAAAUAAAUAAAAGAAUCUUCCAGAAAUUCAUGAAGAGACUUCAGGUCAGGAAAGCCUGAACUUUCUCAUCCAACACCUGUUCAAGUCGGAGGAUGCUGAUUAAUUCAUGAUGGAAAGGUAUCAAUUUCACAGCCCAGACCUCUACAUUCUUGAAAUGCUCUUCUCAUGGGAGACAUUAAAUAAGCUUUGAAUUAACUGAGACCUCUGUGGAUUCUAUAACUCAAAGACCCAGGCUGACGGCUGGUGGAAUAGCUACCAUCUCAAACAUGGCGUGAUGCUGCAUCAGAGAGAAAAAUAAGCUCUUGCAUUGACAAUGAAAUGUCUACCCUGUAGUGACUUGUGCUUACUUCCACUCACAAGUGAUUGCCCAGAGCUACUUACCUGGCUCCAAUCUACCACUGGGUCAGACGUUUGCUGAAUUCAGUUCUGAGCUUUUGAACCAAAAGCAGAUCUUCAGAACAAGAAACAAGAUAAUAAAAGAGAAACAUGAAGAAACUGAAGAUGAUUGGAGAAAUAUGAAUCAAGAUGAUUAGACCUAGCAGAGGGCUGGCUGGAUGGCAUUUAUGUUGACAGUGGACU
rnacentral:antisense_RNA from 1 species